rnacentral:rRNA from 1 species
GACGAACGCUGGCGGCGUGCUUAACACAUGCAAGUCGAACGAUGAACCCGGAGCUUGCUCCGGUGGAUUAGUGGCGAACGGGUGAGUAAAACGUGAGUAACCUGCCCUUGACUCUGGGAUAACUGCGGGAAACUGUAGCUAAUACCGGAUACGACCCUCGGCGGCAUCGCCAGGGGGUGGAAAGAAUUUCGGUCAAGGAUGGACUCGCGGCCUAUCAGCUAGUUGGUGAGGUAACGGCUCACCAAGGCGACGACGGGUAGCCGGCCUGAGAGGGGGACCGGCCACACUGGGACUGAGACACGGCGCAGACUCGUACGGGAGGCAGCGGUGGAGAAGAUUGCACAAUGGGCGCAAGCCUGAUGCAGAAACUCCGCGUGAGGGAUGACGGCCUUCGGGGUGUAAACCUCUUUUAGUGGGGAAGAAGCGAAAGUGACGGUACCUGCAGAAAAAGCACCGGCUAACUACGUGCCAGCAGCCGCCGUAA